AACGCACAUUGCGCCCUCCUUCGUCUGGGGGGCAUGCCUGUCCGAGCGUCAUUUCUGCCCUCAAGCACGGCUUGUGUGUUGGGUGUGGUCCCCCCGGGGACCUGCCCGAAAGGCAGCGGCGACGUCCGUCUGGUCCUCGAGCGUAUGGGGCUCUGUCACUCGCUCGGGAAGGACCUGCGGGGGUUGGUCACCACCAUGUUUUACCACGGUUGACCUCGGAUCAGGUAGGAGUUACCCGCUGAACUUAA
rnacentral:misc_RNA from 1 species